CCAGGCAGUGUGGUGGUCUGGGCAGGGUGAGUAGUCUAGGCAGUGUGGUGAUCCGGGCAGUGUGAGUGCUCCAGGCAGUGUGGUGGUCUGGGCAGGGUGAGUAGUCUAGGCAGUGUGGUGAUCCGGGCAGUGUGAGUGCUCCAGGCAGUGUGGUGGUCCGGGUAGGGUGGUAGUCUUAACAGGGUGAGUGGUCCGGGCAGUGUGGUGGUCCGGGUAGGGUGGUAGUCUUAACAGGGUGAGUGGUCCGGGCAGUGUGGUGGUCCGGGCAGUGUGGUGGUCCGGGCAGGGUGAGUGGUCCGGACAGUGUGGUGGUUCGGGCAGUGUGGUGGUCUGGGCAGUGUGGUGGUCCAGGCAGGGUGAGUGGUCCGGGCAGUGUGGUGGUCCGGGCAGUGUGGUGGUCUGCGUAGGGUGUUGGUCCCAGUAGGGUGGUGAGCCUGGCAGGGUGAGUGAUCUGAACAGUGUUUCGUCUGGGGCAGAGGUAAAGGUGCUGGCAGAGACAUCAAGCUCCGUCCAUUUUCCCGGCAGUGCUGUUGAGUGUGGCUGGAGGAUCCGAGGGUGUGGUCUGAGCGACCUCAGUGGGGCCUUGAUUGCUGGGUGUUGUCCAGAAACCCGCCGCUCCUCCCACUGGCCUUGACCUUGGCUGGGCUGGGGGUUGCUGGGCGGCAGGGGCAGGCAGCCACCUCUGCACACAGGGCCACCCUCGCCACUGCUCUCCCCAUUGGAUUCUGCAGAGCCGGGGACUUCACGGCCCUGACCGCUGCCCUGUAUCUCGGUGACGUGAUGUGCUCGUGUUGGUUUUUCCUGUCUUUUUUUAGACUUAAUCAGAAAUAAGGUAGAAGGUCAGAGUCCACAGCAAAGAGGCACAGAGGGGAACGGCAGCUCCUUGGGUCCCACGGGGCUGUGCCUGCUCCUUGGUGGGGACACUGGAGGCCCAGAGUGGCACAGACCCUGUCUUCACUGAGGGGAGAAAGAGGCAGCCCCGGGGCAUGAGAGCCACCCCUGCUGAUGCUGCCCCGGGCCCACAAGGGCCAAGCUCCAGGAACAUGGAAGUCCUGCCCUGGGCAGCACAGCCUCCAGAUUCCAAGAACCCAGCCUGGCACCCCAGGCUGGGCACAGCAAGGAGAGAGACUUCGACACUCUGCAUUAAGAUGACUUCGGCCUCUCUGAAGCUCCUCCAUUUCUGGCUGCUUUUCACUGCCGUCUGCCUGCCUGUGUUCUUGUCUUCACGCCGGCCUUUGGUACGGGAGGGAGCCAUCCACGGCCCACACUGCAGCUCCCGUGACCUCCGCACGGCCCCGUGCGGACACUCAUCUGGAUUUUGUUUGUGCUCAGGAGAGGCUCUGCAUUGAACGACCUUGCACUGGGCCGGUUUCUUUUCUAAAGGACUGCAGUGUGAGAAGGCAGCACCGCCCCGGCGCCCGCGAGGAAGCCGAACUGCUCAUAAGUUAAGCAGCCCCAGCCAGGUCACGGGGCAAGGAAGCCGCCUGCGACCUCGGAAACCCCUGGUUCAUCCCAUGACCCACCCCCGUUCAUCCGGUGACCCACCCCUCACCCCGGUUCAUCCCGUGACCCACCCCCCCGUUCAUCCCAUGACCCAGCCCCCCACCCCGGUUCAUCCCAUGACCCAGCCCCCCACCCCGGUUCAUCCCAUGACCCACCCCCCACCCCGGUUCAUCCCGUGACCCACCCCCCGUUCAUCCCAUGACCCAGCCCCCCACCCCGGUUUAUCCCGUGACCCACCCCCUGUUCAUCCCGUGACCCACCCCCCGUUCAUCCCGUGACCCAGCCCCCAACCCCGUUCAUCCCGUGACCCACCCCCAACCCCGGUUUAGCCCGUGACCCACCCCCCCCCCGUUCAUCCCGUGACCCACCCCCCGGUUCAUCCCGUGACCCAGCCCCCAACCCCGUUCAUCCCGUGACCCAGACCCCACCCUGGUUUAUCCCAUGACCCACCCACGGUUCAUCCUGUGACCCGCCCCCCGUUCAUCCCGUGACCCACCCCCCACCCCUGGUUUAUCCCGUGACCCACCCCCGGGUCAUCCUGUGACCCAGACCCCACCCUGGUUUAUCCCAUGACCCGCCCACGGUUCAUCCUGUGACCCGCCCCCCGUUCAUCCCGUGACCCAGCCCCCCACCCCUGGUUUAUCCCGUGACCCACCCCCGGGUCAUCCUGUGACCCAGACCCCACCCCUGGUUUAUCCCGUGACCCACCCUCGGGUCAUCCCGUGACCCAGACCCCACGCCUGGUUUAUCCCGUGACCCACCCGCAGCACCAGCACCUCAGUGCUGCUUUUGUAUUUAUAGUCGCCUUGCUGUAUGUUGAGCGUAAUUUUACAAUCUGCCCAAAAUUCCUUUGAAGAGCAGAUAGGUGUGUACACCCUAAAUGAAUAAAAUACAGUGCGAUUUGGUGAAAGGUAA
rnacentral:lncRNA from 1 species